rnacentral:rRNA from 1 species
GUCGAGAGCUUUCGGAGCUCGGCAUACUGCUCAGUAACACGUCCUUUUACCUGCCCUGUGCUGGGGGAUAACCUCGGGAAACUGACCUUAAUACCCCAUAGUCCACUACGCCUGGAACGGUGAGUGGAUGAAAGCCCCGGCGGCACAGGAUGGGCCUGCGGCGUAUCAGGUAGUAGGGGGUGUAAAGUACCCUCUAGCCUUCGACGCGUACGGGUUGUGAGAGCAAUAGCCCGGAGAUGGAUUCUGAGACACGAAUCCAGGUCCUACGGGACGCAGCAGUCGCGAAACCUUGACAAUGCGGGAAACCGUGAUCAGGGGACUCCAAGUGCCAGGAGUAAGAUCCUGUGCUUUUCUUCUCUCUUCAAAGGAUUAGGAAUAAGAGGUGGGUAAGGACGGUGCCAGCCGCCGCGGUAAUACCGGCGCCUCGAGUGGUAGUCGAUUUUAUUGGGCCUAAAACGUCCGUCGCCGGUCUGGUGCAUUCGUGGGUAAAUCAACCCGCUCAACGGGUUGAAUUCUGCGAGCACGGCCAGACUAGGGACCGGGAGAGGUGUGGGGUACGCUCGGGGUAGGGGUAAAAUCCUGUCAUCCCGAGCGGACCACCUGUUGCGAAGGCGCCACACUAGAACGGAUCCGACGGUCAGGGACGAAGCCUAGGGGGACGAACCGGAUUAGAUACCCGGGUAGUCCUAG